GUGUUUGAUUCGGCAGCACAUAUACUAAAAUUGGAAGAUACAGAGGAGAUUAGCAUGGCCCCUGCACAAGGUUGACAUGCAAAUUCGUGAAGCGAUCCAUAUUUAA